rnacentral:snRNA from 1 species
GGAUGUGAGGGUGAUCUGGCUGUGACAUAUGUCACCCCAUUGAUCAUCAAGGUUGAUUCUGCUGAUCUGUCUGGAUAGGUGGGUAUACCUUUGCUCCUUCAUUGCUCCAUGUGUGUCCCUCCCAAAGCUGUGCACUAGGACGAGCUUCCCUGAAUAGAGGAGGACUGGGCUUUGGUCAAGGGCAUAUGAAUAACUGCGAUCCCCUGCUAGAACCGCCAAACAAGCUCUCAUCAGAUAUUUAGUGACCCUUGCAUGUUAGAGACUCUCAUCUGAUAAUUAAUGAUC